AGGGGACAAGAAGGAUGUGAGCAAAUCGAAACGCUAGGCACAGAGAAGGAGAGACAAUCUUGGUGAACGUAAUUUGACUGAGUGGCCUUAGGCAACUAACUGGGGACAGACCGGGCAAAAUUACACCGGGGGAGGCGGACGCUGAGGAAGGUUGGCUACCAACGGCGGAGGCCUCGGGGAGGAGCGAGAGGGAGAGGAGCUCUCCAGCAGCCCCCACGCGCCGGGGUCCGCCUCUCUGCCACGCCCGCUCGGCCUCAUUGUUCGGGGGCAGCGUCCCUCUCCUGCCCUCGCAGUGAUCUUUCCUCAACUCCUCGGGGACAACUGCCUGGAUCAGAGGAGAAGGCUUCCCGACUUCGCCCAUUGACUGCCCCCGGGCCUACGUCAGCCUAGCGGCCAGCUCCCUCCUCCUCCCUCUGCAAAACCGCCUCCUUCCCUUUGCUCCGGGCUGGGGGCGAGAUGGGGUGGGCGGCCAGAGCCCCACCCCCACCGAUAUCUCUCUCUCUCUCUGAAGAGGGGGCGUGGGGUUAUUGGGGGAAGUUGUUUUCAGUCCCUUGGGGCACGAGUUUGCCAUCUGAAAUGCCAUCUGGACACUGCCCCCUCUUCUCUAGGAAACUUCCUCACUGCCUCCCCUCUCCGCCCCCCCCCCCAUUCCCCCGGGAAUUUUACCCUCCGGGAAUUCCUUUUGGCAGCUCUCAAAACCCGGGAGUCCAGCCCUAGACCGGAAGGAGGCUUCUGCAGGGCAGGCAGGAACCACAUCUUGCGCCAACUUACAUCUUCUCCACGCUUCUCUGUAUGCAAUAAACUUUGAUAAAUGCUUGAGGAAUAAAGGAACACGAGUUAUUUGCCUA